UCUCCAACGACAGCAUACACAACCCAGCUCCAUCUAUCGGCCAAGUUUCCACGCACUCCGCUCCUCACACCACCGCACCACCACCGAAAAAUCCUUGAAGUCAACGUCACUGCUACCGCCACCACACCACUACACCACCACCAAAAAAUUCCCAAACUCGACGUCGUCUUGUUGCCACAACCAUCACCACUGCCUAUUUCAACAUUCACCAACACAACCACCUUAAAUCAACCAUUUCCUUCAACUUUACCAAAAAAAAACCAGCACCACCACCUCCUCAAAGCACCGCAAACACCACCACAACAACUGCAUGCAACCAACAAAACCUCAAACCAAAAAUUUCGGCACCAGAUUGCGAUCAGAUCUUGAUUAGAUUUCCCCAAAUUUUUCAGUGUGAG
rnacentral:lncRNA from 1 species